CAAUUUUGCUGAGGGGCAGACCUACACCAUCUCACCAAGACCCACUUGGGAUCAGUGCCGUGCAUUGUACUGAAGUCGAGGAGAAGUUUGUAACUGUGCUGAGAGCAAAGCUAACUCGCCCACGUGGGGAUAGGAGCCACGGCCAGGCUGGGCCCAAGCGGCAGGGAUAGCUGGGGCCCAAAGAUAAUUAGCUUUGCAGGAAGACCCUCUCGUCUCAUGGGCCGUUACUGACCAAAACCUUCUGAAGCAAAUAAAACAAGCUCGUAUCUGUUUUCUGCAUCGAAAAGAAAUCACUUUCCUCAGCCGCCUCCAACAUAAGAUUUAAUGACGAGUUGCUGCUUUCAGAGGUUCGUCCUGCAGGUGGCAACAGCAAGAAAGAAUCCCUCAUUGAGUGCAUUUAACUGGCCCCCAGCUGCAGCCAGUUUUCAGUUGCUGCCUGCAGGCGAGGGGGAGCGGGGACACCCCUCUUCCCUUUGCAGAGCCCGUCCAGCUUGGUCCAGCGGCUGACACGGCGCUGUGGGUCCCAGGAAGGUGCCAGGCGUUGUGACCGCUCUGUGAGUGCGUGCGUGACCUUCUGUAACGAAGACAGACCCUUCCCUGUGCCAGUUAAAGGAAGCUGCCAGGAGUUACAAAUCAGAGCCCUCAGAUCUCAGAGGAUGGAAACAGCUCACCCACGGUCAGACUCGGGGGCACAAGCAGCUGCCGUCAGUCUUUUGAGUUCUUCCUGGAGGGCCCGCUGAGGUCUGCUGGCGUGUUCCCAGGAGCCUCGAGAAGCACACAGCUCACGUGUACACCUGAUCUGGAUCCCGUGAGCCCUGGCUCGCCUGUUUUUGGUCUCUCUGGAUAUGCUUUGCAUUUAGAAGGCACUCAAUUAAUAUCACAGGUAUGCGUGAACGAAUGUGUAUGAUGAUGCCUCGGGCAUGUCAACACUGUGCGUCCCUUUGGUCAAGGACAGAAUCUUCCAGUCAUCUGUCUGUCCAUCUGUCCAUCCAUCUUCUCAUGCCUCCCGGAAGAAUUGCUAACUUGUUGGAUGCCGUGGACAGACGUGAACCUACACGCCCUGAGGAGACCUGAUCUUUCCUUUACGCCUCUGGUCGACCACAAAGGAUAUGAACAGUGACAGGAGAGGAACCACACAGGAUCUUAAAUCCAGGGAAAGGUGUACAAGUUCAAAGUCAGGAGAAAGACAAGCCAAUCAAAGUAUACUGAAAUAUCCUUUUUUUAACCCAUCAGACAGGCAAACAAUGAGGAUGUGUGACCAUCCGCUGCGGUAAGGCUGUGGGGAAACAGGAGGGCUCACGCGUUACAGGUGUGCGUGUCAGUGUCAGCAGCCUCAUGGAGGGUCACUUCACAGUGCGCCUCAAAAUGAUAAAUGCCUAUUUUUUGCAUCAGUAAUUUUGCUCCUAGGAAUGUCUCGCGUGGUUAUGUUCAUGCAGGUGCAAAACGGCACAGACAGCGUUACUCACAGGAGCACCCGUACGCAGAGCACCAAGUAGAAAGCAAUUAAAAAUAAAUAAAUAAAAAUAAAUUAAAAAAAGA